rnacentral:rRNA from 1 species
CCUACGGGAGGCAGCAGUGAGGAAUAUUGGUCAAUGGGCGCGAGCCUGAACCCGCCAAGUCGCGUGAGGGAAGACGGUCCUAUGGAUUGUAAACCUCUUUUGUCGGGGAGCAAAAGACGCCACGCGUGGCGUUCCGAGAGUACCCGAAGAACAAGCAUCGGCUAACUCCGUUCCAGCAGCCGCGGUAAUACGGCGGAUGCGAGCGUUAUCCGGCUUUAUUGGGUUUAAAGGGUUCGCAGGCGGAAGAUCAAGUCAGCGGUAAAAUUGAGAGGCUCAACCUCUUCGAGCCGUUGAAACUGGUGUUCUUGAGUGAGCGAGAAGUAUGCGGAAUGCGUGGUGUAGCGGUGAAAUGCAUAGAUAGCACGCAGAACUCCGAUUGCGAAGGCAGCAUACCGGCGCUCAACUGACGCUCAUGCACGAAAGUGUGGGUAUCGAACAGGAUUAGAUACCCUUGUAGUC